AGAGAGAGAGAGAGACAGAGAGGGGGGUUGUAGCGGUGAGAGUGAAGCUGCAGGUCCAUCAUGGUGAAGAUCAGCUGCGCGGCGAUAAAUGGCAUUAAAGCCGAGAAAGAGGAGCGCGAGGAUCCGGAGCGCAUCUACAUCCCGCCGCAGCACGUGGGUGUGACCCAGUGCUCGUCCCUGAGUGGACUCUGUUGUUUACUGAUUGCUCUCAUAAUCAGCUCCUGCAGCCUGGUGUAUGCCUCCAUCUACAUCUACCGCUAUUAUAUUAUCCCUCAGGCAGGUGAGUCUCAGUUCCGGUGUAAUGUUUAUUAUGAAGACACUCUGAAGGCACCUCAGCAUGAUCAAGAGGAACUGCAGGAGAAUGUUGACAUCAACCUGCAAAAAAACUACGAAAGAAUCAGCAUCAAUGCUGGCAGCACAAACCCACGGACACGUCCUGCUACCAUCAUACAUGACUUCAACAAGGGUCUGACUGCAUAUCACGACAUCACUCUGGAUAAGUGUUACAUCAGCACAUUGAACAGCAGCAUCGUUCUGCCACCAAGGAACCUGUGGAAGCUCCUCAUCAAUGUCAAACUGAGAACUGGCAAUGAUGCAUCUCUCCCGCAGACGUACAUGGUUCAGGAGGAGAUGGUGGUGUCUGAGCAGGUGACGAACACGCGUGUGUUUGGCAUGUUUAUCCACAGACUGUGUGAAGGGAAACCAACUUAUCAGAUUAGACGUCGCCUCACACGCCGCCGUAUUGCGAAGCGUGAGGAGCAGAUCUGUCACUCCAUCCGUCACUUUGAGAACACAUUUGUAAUGGACACGCUGAUAUGUGAUGCACCCUGAGUCCAACCUUCACCUCACACCAUCACUCUGUUUCCCUCCCAAUCACUUCUUUAUUUCUUUCAUGAUUUAACUGGAUUUAUGACAAAGAAGAUACGCUUAUUCGCUCCAUGUAGCAUUUCAAGCCUGUAACUGCUUUAGUUUAUCAACAAUUCGAUUGUUAUUUCUAUAGUCGAGUUCAUCUUUACACUUAUAUAAUUAUAAACCACUGUAAAUGUGGACUGUGUAUGAACCUCAUCCUGAUCUGAUUAAUGUAGCUAAAACAUCUGAGUAAAUAAAGAACAUCAACACUU